rnacentral:rRNA from 1 species
UGAAGCGGCAACAGCUCAAAUUUGAAAGCUGGCUCCUUUGGAGUCCGCGUUGUAAUUUGUAGAGGAUGAUUCGGCAAGGGCUCCCGCCUAAGUCUCCUGGAACGGAGCGUCAUAGAGGGUGAGAAUCCCGUAUGCGGUGGGCUGCCUAAGCCAUGUGAAUCUCCUUCGACGAGUCGAGUUGUUUGGGAAUGCAGCUCUAAAUGGGAGGUAAAUUUCUUCUAAAGCUAAAUACCGGCCAGAGACCGAUAGCGCACAAGUAGAGUGAUCGAAAGAUGAAAAGCACUUUGGAAAGAGAGUUAAAAAGUACGUGAAAUUGUUGAAAGGGAAGCGCUUGCAGCCAGACUUGUCCGCAGUUGCUCAGCCGGUCUCCUGACCGGUGUACUCUUCUGCGGCCAGGCCAGCAUCAGUUCGGGCGGUCGGAUAAAGACCUCGGGAAUGUAGCUCCUCUCGGGGAGUGUUAUAGCCCGGGGUGGAAUGCGGCCAGCCUGGACUGAGGAUCUCGCUUCGGCUAGGAUGCUGGCGUAAUGGCUGUAAGCGGCCCGUCUUGAAACACGGACCAAGGAGUCUAACAUCUAUGCGAGUGUUUGGGUGUCAAACCCAUGCGCGUAAUGAAAGUGAACGGAGGUGGGAACCCUCACGGGUGCACCAUCGACCGAUCCUGAUGUCUUCGGAUGGAUUUGAGUAAGAGCAUAGCUGUUGGGACCCGAAAGAUGGUGAACUAUGCCUGAAUAGGGUGAAGCCAGAGGAAACUCUGGUGGAGGCUCGCAGCGGUUCUGACGUGCAAAUCGAUCGUC